AAAGAUUAUUUUUGUAAAAUUAAAUUACAGAUUUACAGGGGGUUGGUUGGUUGGGUUUAAAUAAAAUUUAUUUGAAUUUGAAUAAUUUCGAAUAAUUUUGGGAGCGAAUGACCUAUUUGGUUGUAGGAAGCAUGCAUUUCUUAAGUCUUUGUAUUAACCAAGAAUAGAAAUAAUAAUAAAAAUUAGAGUCCGUCCGACUUAUAAGAAUUAAGAAUCUUAAGAUAUACGUUAGUGUUAAUAAAUACUUGGAAACUACGUUCCAUCGUAAAAGCCCUUCCAAGGCCUGCCUGCCUGCCUGCCUGCCUGCACAGUACGUUGUUCAAAUUAGAGUAUUAAAAAAAAAAUCUAAAUAUAAUAGAAAAAACACAAGCAAAACAGUUAGUCAGUUAAUGUUAAUUAGUUGCACUUGAGAGAGAGAGAGAGAGAGAGAGAGAGAGAGAGAGGAGAGAGAGAGGAUAUAUACGGAAAUGUCGGAGAUCGGUUGGUAAAGAAAAGAAUCCUUGAAUUAAUCUAGCUCUUUAUAUAUAUAUUUGGUCGUUACUCCCCCAAAAAGUAGGAUCAUCUUCUAAAUCUGUACAGGGUGGUGGGUUGUUCCUUUGUUGAAUAAGGGAAGGGAAGGGGACAGACCCAUCACCAGGGAAUCUCCGUUUCCUCAUCUCUUCCUUCCUUCUUUGCUUCUCUCCAUCCAUCCUUCCUCCCUGAAUGCUUCUAUGGUGUUCAGGGGGUGGUAGUAGUAGUAGUAUUAGUAUUAGUACUAGUGCUACUUUUAAUAAUUAUUAUAAUAAUAAAUAUAAUCCACCCCCUUUCGCCGCCGGAUGAUUCUAUGGGUUCGAUCUACGCAGCCUACUCAUUAAUAUUAUAACCGCCGCUAUGGCUGUUGCGGUAGAUCACCGUCACAACUUCAAACCUGCGGCGCGGAACCGCCGACAUCGACUCCUCUCAUCACCCCACCUUGAUCUCAAGCAAAUCGACAUCGAUAUAUUUGCGUCUAACGUUAAUAAUAAUAAUUAUUAUAAUCACAAUCAUAAUCAUCCGAUACCCGUACAACAACCCAAUCCUUGCAUUCACCGGAGUUUGUCCACUCCGUGUCUCCUUUCCACCGGUAAGGUUGCCACCAGUACUGUCACUGCUGAAUUUUCAUCAUCCGAGUGCAAUGGAAGUAAAGUGGAGAUUGUAAUGGGAAAGAGAUCUCCUGGUGUCAAUGCUUUGGUCGUCGAGGCUGCGAUUGCAGCAGCGUGCGGUGCAAAACCUAUAUUUGUCCCUGGUAGUGCAGGUGGGGUUUAUUAUCUUGUCAAUCGUUCCGGAAACAGUUUUGCGGUGUUGAAGACGGUCAGUGAUGAGUCCAUCAUUGGACUCGGUCUCGACCAGCGUUCCAUUUGCAACGGCAACACAGGUACAUGCAGUUUUUUUUUAAUAUAUAUAUAUAUAAAAUAAUCGAUCGACUUGAUCGGACCAUGUGCAAUAAAUAUAAUGAUCGAGCAGGUGUACGUGAGGUUGCGGCGUACCUACUAGACCAUGGUGGAUUCUCCGGUGUACCGCCGACGGUUCUCGUUAAGGUCUCCGAAGCGGCAUUCCAAAUACCCACAAGCUCGUCUUCCGCACCAAGACACCGAAUUGCAUCUAUCCAAAGAUUCGUUCCUCAUGAAUUCGACUCAGGUGAUCUUGGCCCAUCGAGAUUCUCAAUCUCAUCGGUGCACCGUAUCGGCAUCCUCGACAUUCGUCUCCUUAACAUUGACAGACACACAGGCAACAUCCUCGUCAACAAGUCUUAUUCGAAACAAAAAAACAGUAGCAAUGAUGUCAAAGCUGAACUGGUUCCUAUCGACCACGGUCUUUGCUUGCCUGAAGUACUUGACGAUCCCUACUUCGAAUGGUUACAUUGGCCUCAAGCCACUGUACCUUUCUCCGAUUACGAACUAGAGUACAUUGGCAGUCUGGACC
rnacentral:lncRNA from 1 species